rnacentral:rRNA from 1 species
ACACUCCUGCGGGAGGCAGCAGUGGGGAAUAUUGCACAAUGGGCGCAAGCCUGAUGCAGCCAUGCCGCGUGUAUGAAGAAGGCCUUCGGGUUGUAAAGUACUUUCAUCGGGGAGGAAGGCAAUACGGUUAAUAACCGUGUUGAUUGACGUUACCCGCAGAAGAAGCACCGGCUAACUCCGUGCCAGCAGCCGCGGUAAUACGGAGGGUGCAAGCGUUAAUCGGAAUUACUGGGCGUAAAGCGCACGCAGGCGGUCUGUCAAGUCGGAUGUGAAAUCCCCGGGCUCAACCUGGGAACUGCAUUCGAAACUGGCAGGCUUGAGUCUUGUAGAGGGGGGUAGAAUUCCAGGUGUAGCGGUGAAAUGCGUAGAGAUCUGGAGGAAUACCGGUGGCGAAGGCGGCCCCCUGGACAAAGACUGAGGCUCAGGUGCGAAAGCGUGGGGAGCAAACAGGAUUAGAAACCCUAGUAGUCCCAUGAU